AGCCCCGUCGUCUAGUGGCCAAGGAUAGCGGGCUUUGGACCCGUUGACAGCGGUUCGAAUCCGCUCGGGGCUA
rnacentral:tRNA from 1 species